rnacentral:rRNA from 1 species
UUGGAGGGCAAGUCUGGUGCCAGCAGCCGCGGUAAUUCCAGCUCCAAUAGCGUAUAUUGAAGUUGUUGCAGUUAAAAAGCUCGUAGUUGAAUUUCGGGGUUCUACCGUUGGUCGGGCUUUGUCUGUACUGGUGUGUAGAAUUUCUACCUUCUGGGGAACCAUCAUGCUAUUAAUUUAGCGUGGUGGGAAACCAGGACCUUUACCUUGAAAAAAUUAGUGUGUUCAAAGCAGGCUUAUGUCUGAAUACAUUAGCGUGGAAUAAUAGAAUAGGACGGUGGUCCUGUUUUGUUGGUUUCUGAAUCACCGUAAUGAUUAAUAGGGAUAGUUGGGGGCAUUAGUAUUCAAUUGUCAGAGGUGAAAUUCUUGGAUUUAUUGAAGACUAACUUCUGCGAAAGCAUUUGCCAAGGAUGUUUUCAUUAAUCAAGAACGAAAGUUAGGGGAUCGAAGACGAUCAGAUACCGUCGUAGUCUUAACCAUAAACUAUGCCGACUAGGGAUCGGACGAUGUUAAUUUUUCUUGACUCGUUCGGCGCCUUACGGGAAAC